rnacentral:rRNA from 1 species
GCGCCUACGGGAGGCAGCAGUGGGGGAUAUUGCACAAUGGGGGAAACCCUGAUGCAGCGACGCCGCGUGAGUGAAGAAGCAUUUCGGUGUGUAAAGCUCUAUCAGCAGGGAAGAAGAAUGACGGUACCUGACUAAGAAGCCCCGGCUAAAUACGUGCCAGCAGCCGCGGUAAUACGUAUGGAGCAAGCGUUAUCCGGAUUUACUGGGCGUAAAGGGAGCGUAGGCGGCCUGCCAAGUCUGAUGUGAAAUACCGGGGCUCAACCCCGGGGCUGCAUUGGAAACUGGCAGGCUGGAGUGCCGGAGAG